GGGGAUAUAGCUCAGUUGGUAGAGUGCUUGCUUCUCAUGCACAAGACCCUGAGUUCAAUUCCCAGCACCACCA
rfam:Ictidomys tridecemlineatus contig090676, whole genome shotgun sequence.